CAGUCGCCGCGGGAAUACGAAGGGUGCAAGCGUUAAUCGGAAUUACUGGGCGUAAAGCGUGCGUAGGCGGUGAGUUAAGUCUGCUGUGAAAUCCCCGGGCUCAACCUGGGAAUGGCAGUGGAUACUGGCUCGCUAGAGUGUGUCAGAGGAUGGUGGAAUUCCCGGUGUAGCGGUGAAAUGCGUAGAGAUCGGGAGGAACAUCAGUGGCGAAGGCGGCCAUCUGGGACAACACUGACGCUCAGGUGCGAAAGCGUGGGGAGCAAACAGGAUUAGAUACCCGCGUAGUCCCUGUCUCUUAUAC
rnacentral:rRNA from 1 species